rnacentral:rRNA from 1 species
UAAGCCAUGCAUGUCUAAGUACAUGCCUCAUUAAGGCGAAACCGCGAAUGGCUCAUUAAAUCAGUUAUGGUUCCUUAGAUCGUACCUUACUACUUGGAUAACUGUGGUAAUUCUAGAGCUAAUACAUGCAUCAGAGCUCCGACCCUCUGGGGACGAGCGCUUUUAUUAGACCAAAACCAAUCGGACUUUGUCCGUAUCCUAUGGUGACUCUGUAUAACUUUGGGCUGAUCGCAUGGGCUUGUCCCGGCGACGCAUCUUUCAAGUGUCUGCCUUAUCAACUGUCGAUGGUAGGUUAUGCGCCUACCAUGGUCGUAACGGGUAACGGGGAAUCAGGGUUCGAUUCCGGAGAGGGAGCCUGAGAAACGGCUACCACAUCCAAGGAAGGCAGCAGGCGCGCAAAUUACCCACUCCCGGCACGGGGAGGUAGUGACGAAAAAUAACAAUACGGGACUCUUUUGAGACCCCGUAAUUGGAAUGAGUACACUCUAAAUCCUUUAACGAGGAUCUAUUGGAGGGCAAGUCUGGUGCCAGCAGCCGCGGUAAUUCCAGCUCCAAUAGCGUAUAUUAAAGUUGUUGCGGUUAAAAAGCUCGUAGUUGGAUCUCAGUUCCAGACGGGCGGUCCGCCUAACGGCGGUUACUGCCUGGCCUGAACAGCCAGCCGGUUUCCCUAGAUGAUCUUCACCGGUUGUCCUGGGUGACCGGCACGUUUACUUUGAAAAAAUUAGAGUGCUCAAAGCAGGCGUGUAGCCUGAAUAAUGGUGCAUGGAAUAAUGGAAUAGGACUUCGUUUCUAUUUUGUUGGUUUUCGGAAUACGAGGUAAUGAUUAAGAGGGACAGACGGGGGCAUUCGUAUUGCGACGCUAGAGGUGAAAUUCUUGGACCGUCGCAAGACGAACUACUGCGAAAGCAUUUGCCAAGAAUGUUUUCAUUAAUCAAGAACGAAAGUUAGAGGUUCGAAGGCGAUCAGAUACCGCCCUAGUUCU